rnacentral:misc_RNA from 1 species
CUUAAUUACUAGAUACUACAUACGUUAUUAUCCACAUAUACAUAUGUCAAGCGUUUUUGUCCUACCCUAAAACACACCAGGAAUAACUUGCUUCACGAAUGAAACUAUCAUGUCCUGCUUCGUGGUGGUCCACAUCAGAAGUUCUCCUUGUGGAAGACGAACUUGGUGGUGGUCUUGUGCGAGAAGUCCUGCGACAGGCGUCGGAGCUCCGGCGUGACCUUCUGGUCGCCGCAGUAGAAGACGCCGACGCGCUGGCCCUGGUGGUUGCAGGCCACCCGCUUGAAGACGUCCCGCCAGUUGGGCCGCGCGAAGUGCGUGCGCACCCGCGUCCCGGACACCACGUCGACGCCGCUCUUGGCGUGGUGCAGCGCUUGCAGCAUCACCAGCAGCGCCGACCGCGCGUCGCCUUCCUCGUACACGCUGGUGCAGUGGUUGUGGAGCUCCACCACGUCGCCGCGGGCGUCGCGCUCCGCCACCUCGUUCAUCACGCCGCGGAACCACUCGAAGGAGCCCUCCUCCCGCGUGCACCAGUAGAAGUACACGCGCCGCGUCAUGAACUCCGCCGGCUGCUCUUCGUCUUUGUUGUCCGAGAUGUUGUUGAGCACGUCCUUGACGAUGCUGAUGAGCGGGGUGGCGCCGAUGCCGAGACCGAUGAGGAGGAGCACGUCGUACUUGCGGUAGUCCUGCGCGGGGGCGCCGUAGGGCCCGUCGAUCAGCAGCUUCGGCAGCUUCCCGCCGCCGCCGGCCGCCGUGGAGGACGCGAAGUCGGCCCGCAGGAGGCCGCUCUGGCCGGCGGCGGGCGGCCGGCACACCUGCGCGAAGAGCGCCC